rnacentral:rRNA from 1 species
AUACGUAGGGUGCAAGCGUUAAUCGGAAUUACUGGGCGUAAAGCGUGCGCAGGCGGUUUUGUAAGACAGUGGUGAAAUCCCCGGGCUCAACCUGGGAACUGCCAUUGUGACUGCAAGGCUGGAGUGCGGCAGAGGGGGAUGGAAUUCCGCGUGUAGCAGUGAAAUGCGUAGAUAUGCGGAGGAACACCGAUGGCGAAGGCAAUCCCCUGGGCCUGCACUGACGCUCAUGCACGAAAGCGUGGGGAGCAAACAGGAUUAGAUACCCUGGUAGUCCACGCCCUAAACGAUGUCAACUGGUUGUUGGGGAUUUAUUUUCUCAGUAACGAAGCUAACGCGUGAAGUUGACCGCCUGGGGAGUACGGCCGCAAGGUUAGAACUCAAAGGAAUUGACGGGG